rnacentral:rRNA from 1 species
CCGGCGCGACGGGUGAGUAACACGUAUCCAACCUGCCGAUAACUCGGGGAUAGCCUUUCGAAAGAAAGAUUAAUACCCGAUGGCAUAAUAGAACCGCAUGGUUUGAUUAUUAAAGAAUUUCGGUUAUCGAUGGGGAUGCGUUCCAUUAGGCAGUUGGUGGGGUAACGGCCCACCAAACCUUCGAUGGAUAGGGGUUCUGAGAGGAAGGUCCCCCACAUUGGAACUGAGACACGGUCCAAACUCCUACGGGAGGCAGCAUG